UAACACAUGCAAGUCGAGGGGCAGCAUGAUUGAAGCUUGCUUCAAUUGAUGGCGACCGGCGCACGGGUGAGUAACGCGUAUCCAACCUUCCGUACACUCAGGGAUAGCCUUUCGAGAGAAAGAUUAAUACCUGAUGGUAUGAUGAGAUUGCAUGAUAUCAUCAUUAAAGAUUCAUCGGUGUACGAUGGGGAUGCGUUCCAUUAGGUAGUAGGCGGGGUAACGGCCCACCUAGCCUACGAUGGAUAGGGGUUCUGAGAGGAAGGUCCCCCACAUUGGAACUGAGACACGGUCCAAACUCCUACGGGAGGCAGCAGUGAGGAAUAUUGGUCAAUGGACGAGAGUCUGAACCAGCCAAGUAGCGUGAAGGAUGAAGGUCCUACGGAUUGUAAACUUCUUUUAUAAGGGAAUAAAACCUCCCACGUGUGGGAGCUUGUAUGUACCUUAUGAAUAAGCAUCGGCUAACUCCGUGCCAGCAGCCGCGGUAAUACGGAGGAUGCGAGCGCUAUCCGGAUUUAUUGGGUUUAAAGGGAGCGCAGACGGGUCGUUAAGUCAGCUGUGAAAGUUUGGGGCUCAACCUUAAAAUUGCAGUUGAUACUGGCGUCCUUGAGUGCGGUUGAGGUGUGCGGAAUUCGUGGUGUAGCGGUGAAAUGCUUAGAUAUCACGAAGAACUCCGAUUGCGAAGGCAGCACACUAAGCCGUAACUGACGUUCAUGCUCGAAAGUGUGGGUAUCAAACAGGAUUAGAUACCCUGGUAGUCCACACGGUAAACGAUGAAUACUCGCUGUUUGCGAUAUACAGUAAGUGGCCAAGCGAAAGCGUUAAGUAUUCCACCUGGGGAGUACGCCGGCA
rnacentral:rRNA from 1 species